UACGGGGGGGGCAAGCGUUGUUCGGAAUUACUGGGCGUAAAGGGCUCGUAGGUGGCCAACUAAGUCAUACGUGAAAUCCCUCGGCUUAACCGGGGAACUGCGUCUGAUACUGGAUGGCUGGAGUUCGGUAGGGGAGACUGGAAUUCCUGGUGUAGCGGUGAAAUGCGCAGAUAUCAGGAGGAACACCGGUGGCGAAGGCGGGUCUCUGGGCCGAUACUGACGCUGAGGAGCGAAAGCGUGGGGAGCGAACAGG
rnacentral:rRNA from 1 species